GACACAGGGCUCAUCAGCAGGGCCCCGAGCCCCCUGCCCUGCAGCAGCCCCAUGGGGCCGUGAGCCCCACACUGGCCCCUGGGCACAUCAGCUGCGCUGGGGGCACUGCGCCAGGGUUCAUGGCAGGGACGCCUGACUCACCCCAUCACCUGACGCCACCACCCUCCGUCCCGUGUUUUCUCCAGCCCUGCUGGACCUUUGUGCUGGGUGGGAGCGGCGCGCUGACGUCUCCCCGUGCCCAUGGUGACUGCGGGUUUCGCUGCUCUCCGGUGUCACCCCUGCCUGCCGCACCCUCCCCGGCUGGGCAGGGCCCUGUAUUUAAGGGGUGGCUGAGGGCUGGCUCGGGAGAGCCACGUUGAGGAGAGCUGUCGGGGCUGUGGUACUUACAGAGGGGUCUGUUCUGCACGGCGGCUUGGAGCCAGUGAAGGAUGUGGAACCCCAACCAAGGACCGCCACCGCCACAGGUGCAAAUCUGCCCGCCUGCCCCUCCGACAUACCCGUACCCAGGGCCCUGUAAUCCAGCUGGGCCCUGCCCUGGCUACCCGGCAGUGCCACCCAGCGCCCCUGGGGCCUGUCAGCCAGGACACCCAGGUCCCUGUCAACCAGGACACCCAGGUCCCUGUGGCCCCCAACCUCCUUGCCACCACCCGCCGGGACACCACCCACCAGGCCACCACCCACCGGGCCACCACCCCCACGGGCAUCCCCCACCAGGGAUGCCAGGGUGCCCACCAGCCCACCCUGGCUGCCAUCAGAAACACCAUAAGAAGCACAAGAAGAAGCACUCCAAGUCCCACAAGCACCACGGUGGCAAGCACUCAAGCAGCUCGAGCAGCUCGAGCAGUUCUGAUUCUGACUGAAGAGGACAUGUUCCACCUGCAUGGUGGUGAAGCCCUGGAGGAGACAGCAUAUGAAGACAAAUGUCCCACGGGAACCACCUGCUUGUUGUUCUGCCCUUUUCUGCUGUCUCUGUGGUCUGCAUUUUGCCUGUUGAGUGAUUUUCUCGCUUUUAGUUUGUAAAUUGUUUGACCUGCAGUCACUGUAAGAGGACA